CGAGAUUCUAAGGAUCAUGGGGGUCCUUGAUCAAACGGGGGAUUUGCUGGGACGGGGAGCUCGAGCCCUCGAGAAUCCGCGUACUGCCACAGGAGAGCAUUCCUUGGAUAAACUCUAUACCCUUCUUUCGAAUCUCGAAUCGAGGGGAGUCAAUUUUGAGUCCUUCUCUCAAUUAAAAGGGAAGGUACCCCUGCGAAGGGGUUGGACGAACACUCUACCAUAUAGUGGAGUGGAUAGCUAGGACUACUAAAAUGGAGAUCGUGUACAACAACAAUCCUAUAUUUGAUGUCGAUUCAUCCACACUUCCAUUCCUUGUAGAUGAAGGCUAACUGCUUGCUAGCUGGGAGCUGUAUGAGCGGUAACGUCCACGUACGGCUCCGUGAGAAGGGCGGUGGACAGAAAUGGCCUUGUUGUACCUCACUCUCGUCUUCAAUGGGGUUUGCUCUUUCUUUUUUGGGAGACACACACUUUGAGAUGAGUGAGUACACUCACUUGUCCACGUCAUCUCUUAGGGUGGUCUUUAAUCAAUUCAAAAUUGUUAAGAUGAAUAUUUAAACGCCCGUAUAAUUAAAGUACUAAAUCAAGUUUUUCCGUCAUGUUCAGGUGAG
rnacentral:lncRNA from 1 species